ACGGAAUAGAUACCCAGGUAGUCCACGCCCUAAACGAUGUCUACUAGUUGUCGGGUCUUAAUUGACUUGGUAAACGCAGCUAAACGCGUGAAGUAGACCGCCUGGGGAGUACGGUCGCAAGAUUAAAACUCAAAGGAAUUGACGGGGACCCGCACAAGCGGUGGAUGAUGUGGAUUAAUUCGAUGCAACGCGAAAAACCUUACCUACCCUUGACAUGGAUGGAAUCCCUGAGAGAUUGGGGAGUGCUCGAAAGAGAACCAUUACACAGGUGCUGCAUGGCUGUCGUCAGCUCGUGUCGGUGANAUGGUUAGG
rnacentral:rRNA from 1 species